UACAGAGGUGGCAAGCGUUGUUCGGAAUUACUGGGCGUAAAGCGUGCGUAGACGGUUACAUAAGUCGGGUGUGAAAGCCCCGGGCUCAACCUGGGAAUUGCAUUCGAGACUGCGUAGCUAGGGUGCGGAAGAGGGAAGCGGAAUUUCCGGUGUAGCGGUGAAAUGCGUAGAUAUCGGAAGGAACACCAGUGGCGAAAGCGGCUUCCUGGUCCAGCACCGACGUUCAGGCACGAAAGCGUGGGGAGCAAACAGG
rnacentral:rRNA from 1 species